GCCGAAGUGGUGGAACUGGCAGACGCGCUGGACUCAAAAUCCAGUGAGGCUUAAACCUCGUGCGGGUUCGACUCCCGCCUUCGGCACCA
rnacentral:tRNA from 1 species